rnacentral:rRNA from 1 species
CACGUAGGAGGCGAACGUUAUCCGGAUUUACUGGGCGUAAAGCGCGUGUAGGUGGUACUGUAAGUAGGGCGUGAAAGCUCCUGGCUCAACUGGGAGAGGCCGUUCUAAACUACAGAACUAGAGGAUGGUAGAGGGAGGUGGAAUUCCAGGUGUAGCGGUGGAAUGCGCAGAUAUCUGGAGGAACACCGGUGGCGAAGGCGGCCUCCUGGACCAUUCCUGACACUCAGACGCGAAAGCUAGGGUAGCAAACGGGGAUUAGAUACCCCGGUAGUCCCUGAGCGGG